UUAUGACCAUAUCAUGUUGAAACACUGGUUCUUGUACAUUCACCAAAGCAAAGCAACGUCAAGCCUGGCCAGUACCUAGAUGGGUGACCGCUUGGGAAUAUCAGGUGUUGUAAG